CCUAAUAUCCUAAAGUUAAGACCUCAUCUUCUUCUCUAACCUGGACACCCUUCAACACAUACAACAAACUCUAGGAACACACCUAAGAUUCCAGCCGCACCAUACCCUCAUCAAUUCUAAUCCCACACCACAAAAACCAAUAUUCGCCACCAUUGAAAAGCCUCCCUUCUCCAAAACUAGAUGCCGCCGAUCGCCACUUCUUCUUCUUCCCUACUUCACCCCAUAGCAACCAGCCGCUUCCCACACCGAAAAACCCCAGUCACAUGCCUGGACAAGACAAACACCAAAACAUGGCAGGAACCCAUUAACGACCAACACAAAUAGAUACGACAAAACCCAUAAAGUUCACGUUGCAAUGUCAUUUCAAACGUCGGUCUAGGUACAAAAGCUAUGGGAAUUGACUCAAUCAUACCCAAAAUUAUCCUCUCUGUUUGAGUUCGAGUUUGUUGCCGGUUGUCAUGUGAGCUUUGAGUAUUACGGUCUGCUAUUCUGGUCCAGAUUUGGAAUAUGUUCGAGGUGCUAUUGUCUCAUUUUAUUCCAAUUCAUUUCUUAAAGUUUGCUGCUCUUUGAACUCGCAUAGACGUCUCUCAUCAAUUUAAAUUUUGAUAACCAUUUUGUCUCCAUCUAGGUCGACUCCUUACUCUGUUCUCUACUUAAUCUAGAAUUAUCUCACGUGCAUGAUUUAUCCUUGCUUGCGCUUCGUGCAUUACUUAUUACGCUUUGACUGAUUUUUUUCAAUUCUGUUUGAAUUGAAUUUCAAAUAUAAACAUUGUUGAAUUCUUGUUUUGUGUAUAUGUGUUGAUGCGUGAGAGAGAAAAUAAUCUUAAUGAACCAGUAAGUGAUCCCAAAUGGAAUGAUAAAGAAAUGGACAUUAACUGGGUCAUGAGAGUGGUAUUGGAUGGGAUAAGAAUCUGAUUAAUUGGAACUUAAACGGGUUUGAGCUUUGGUCACAAUUUACAUUCCUGAACUGGAUUUAAUAUCAAUUUUACUUUUAUAUCAUCAUUUUGUUAUUGCUAGUAGCAUGUUUAGGCCGACCACACUCGAUUAGAUAAAUCUUAGGUUUUCUUCAUUUCAUUUUUAUUUUUGAGGCAAGAGGUCGUUUGUCUUAAUUUAUUAUCCAUAAAAUGUCCCGUGAAAUAUUUAUAAAUUUUAUCCAGGGUAUGCCCCGAAAUAUUUGUAUUUGGAAGCCGAACGUAGAACUCAUAGUAUUUUUAUUUUUAUUUUAUUUUUUAUUUUUUUAUUAGGUGAGAACAACCUCGAGCCUCUGGUGUGUUUAUUUUUCUUUUUGUAUGUGUUUAUUUUUACCUCAAUUUGAUUAUUUUACAAGCCAAUUAGAUCAAGUACACAAACCGUAAUUUUCAUGGGACUUAGGAAAUGCCUAAAACCUUCUCCCUAAGUCAAAUGAAUCCCCUUACCUAAACUCUAAUUCAAACUUAUUUUUGGAGUUCAAAGUGUUUUAAAAGGAAAAAUUAUUUCUAAUAAUGGUGACCUGACACAACGAAAUGAAAUAUCAGGUGGCAACUUUGAAAAGUCCUUUUGAACACAAUUUUUGUCACUUUCAAAAUUGAAAACCCUUUCUAGCUUUACAAAUCCUUUUAUUAUUUUUAAGAGGGUUAGUGAGAUUAAAAAAAUGGGUGUGACAGCUCUGACUACUGUGCUGGGGAUUAGCAGGUUCGAGCUAAUAAUUGAUCUUGUUGGCUUUUAGGAUAUUCAAUUAAGGUGUUCGUUUUCUUUAUUUGCUUUGAUUAUUUGGUUUGUUUGUCUUAUUUGAUAUUUUGUUGGUUAUUUGUUUAUCUCUUUUCCUUAUAUGUUUACUGUUUUGCAACUAUUAUCAUUUGCAUAACCAUGAGUCUUCUUUCUGCACUAAGCUUUCCGGAGUACGUUUGAGUGUGCACGACCUUUUUGUGAGUCACUCGUGUCUUUGUGGGGGUGGCGUGGGAGCGUAAAGUGGGUGGAUAGCUAGAGCAGCCGCCAUCGACCACGUGCCGCCCCGAAUUGCCUUGUCUAGUGAACCCUUAAACUUAGGUCAGCCUUUAGGUCAUGCUUAUUUGCAUCAUAUCAUUUACACUUAGCAGGAUUCAGACUCAAGCUCCAUGUCCCUUUGUAGGAGACAUAUCUAUAGCUCGCGGUCCAAAAAGACAUUCAAUCUUCUCAAUUCCCCAUGUGCUACAUAUUGAAUUUUUUAAAGGUAAAGGGAUCAUCUAGCGGACCAAUGCUGGUUGAGGGUAUAAACAUGAAGCAAGUAGGCCCCAAAUAAAUAUUUUCUUUCACAAAUUUUUCAAGAAAAGACCAAUAUAUAAAAAUGAAAAUCCAAAAAUAUUUUGUACUUUCCCCAUCAUUUUCCAAAAAUUCAGAAGAAAAAAGAGAAAAAGAAAAUCCAAUGUUUUUUACAUGUUUCAUCAUUUUUCAAAAAAAAAAAAACAACAAAAACCUGUUUUCUCCAAUUUAAUUGUUUUUAAAUUCUCUCCUAUGUCCAAUCUUCCCGAACUACGUAUACCCGAUUCUCGUCUUUCAGGGCGAGAUGCCUAGGCAGCACACAUAGGAUCUGGUCUUCCUAGUGAGUUUUAGGCACUUGGCUUCGGGAGUCGUUACCAAAUCUUACAUGUCUAGCCACGUUUGGCCACAUUGGUCAUUUUGUAAAAUAGGGCUAGUUUCUCAAAGUGGCUUAUUAUCCCAUGUCUUAGAGCCCUAAGUCCACGACAAGGUAUCCUCCCUGUUUAAGGUCCAUUUUGCAGAGUUUGCACUUCUAGCCAUUUUUUGGCCACAUAGGCCAUUUAUAUAAAAUGGGUCAUUUUCAAAGUAAUUUAUUAUGUCGGGGAUCACCUUUGUUGAGUUUGCACUUCUAACCACAUUUUGGCCACAUAAGUCAUUUUGCAAAAAUAGUCUUAAUCAUGCCUUGCAUGUGUGCAAUAGGUGACGUGGCAUCGCAGAGUGUCUUGAGUCACUAAUCUAUUUGGUCUUAUUUUCUCAUUCAGGCAUGGAUCCAUGUACUAGAGCUCGAGCGUGACAGAUUCCCCAGGACCAUCCAGUUAGGACCACUUCAUUCAGGAACUACUUGAGGAUACUUUUCUAUAUUUUUGAGUCUUUUUUCGUGUUUUCUUUUACUUUCUAAUCCUGUUUAGUAUUUUUUUAGUCUUUUAGGCGGUGUAGAUUUUGUCAUAAUCUAGCCGAGUCUAUUAAAUCUUUU
rnacentral:lncRNA from 1 species